CCUCGAUGCAGGUAGCCUCGAUGCAGGUAGCCUCGAUGCAGGUAGCCUCGAUGCAGCUUCCUGUCCGGUUGCGGCUGCUGUCAAUCACACCCUCAUAAUCCCGCCGUGUUCUCCGAGCAGCCAGGUAGUGUCACCUGCUGCAAAGUGGCCCAGGUGCAAAUCCCUCUCCAUCAAGAAAAUGCAGCCAGGCAACGUGGAGAAAUUUAAGAAACAGUCCCUGCAGAAGACGUGCAAGCAGUCCACAGCCAGAGUGAGAGCAGAGUGCCAUGGAAGGUGAAUCAGUUGGACGAACAGAUCCAUCAAAAGGACACUGAAAUUGGAGGAGAAGAUCAGCGAAGACCUGCACCUGAAACAACAGGGCUGACUGACAGAAGAAGGUGAGCGGGUGGAGAAACAGACCCGCUAGGGACACUUCCAUCCUGGAUCUCAUCAAGGCAAAGGGAAGUCUGCGAGGAGCUCACACCACACACAAGCUGAGCAGCAAAUUAAUUCCUCCAGAGUGAGGAGGCCCGGCCGGAUUCAAACAGGUGCCGGACGCGAAGACGGUCCUGGAGGAUUUAAAAAUGAAGAAGAAGAAGGAGAAGAGCAGGACCGGCUUCUUUGGCAAACAGAUGGAGGAUCAACAGGACAAGUCGGAGAAAAUAAGAAGUGUCCGAGAAGGAGAUGAAAAACAAAGAGCAGCAUGAGAAGGUGGGAAAAGGAAGGAGGAGAAGAUGUACACAGGGCUUUUCCUGCCAGAUGCGUUACCGCAACAGAAAGGUGGAGGAGGCUCUUCAGCCGAGGUUGGACAUCUU
ensembl:lncRNA